rnacentral:rRNA from 1 species
UACGUAGGGUGCAAGCGUUAAUCGGAAUUACUGGGCGUAAAGGGCGCGUAGGCGGAAUGGCAAGUCGGUCGUGAAAUCCUUCGGCUCAACCGAAGAACGUCGGCCGAUACUGCCGUUCUUGAGGGAUGCAGAGGAGAUUGGAAUUCCCGGUGGAGCGGUGAAAUGCAUUGAGAUCGGAAUGAACACCAACGGCGAAAGCACUCUGCUGGGCCGACACUGACACUGAGAGACGAAAGCUAGGGGAGCAAAUGGG